rnacentral:lncRNA from 1 species
CUAUUAUCUUUUAAACGGUCCAAAUCCCCACCCCUAAACCAUAUAUAUUCUUGUAGGGGACGAUAAAACAAAUGAAAUAAAAUAAAAGGGAAGUCUUCAGGGGGUCACCCCACCCCCUCUUGUUUUAAAACUUGUUAACUGUCAAGAUCCCCACCCCUAAACCAUAUAUAUUCUUGUACGGAAGAAUAAAACACAUCAUAGGAAAUAUAGGGAGAGUCCAUGGGAGUCACCCCACCCCACAUGUAUGAAAAACUUUUAAAUGGUUGAGAUCCCCACCCCUAAACCAUAUAUAUUCUUGUAUGGGACAAUAAAACAAAUCAAAGUCCCUGGUGGUCACCACCACCCCC